rnacentral:sRNA from 1 species
GGAUUCGAUUAUGACUUGAUGUCAUGUGUAUGAUUGAGUAUAAGAACUUAAACCGCAACCGAUCUUAAAAGCCUAAGUUGUGUUUCCUUGUUAGGAGAUAUAAAGCCAAAGACUCAUACGGACUUCAUCUACACCAUCAAAGCUUUGAGAAGCAAGAAGAGGCUUGGUUAGUGUUGUAGAGUCAAAUAUGACUAGAUGUCAAGUGUAUGAGUGAGUAUAACAACUAGAACCGCAAC